rnacentral:rRNA from 1 species
CCCUUAGAUGUUCUGGGCCGCACGCGCGCUACAAUGAUGAAUUCAACGAGUUUAUAACCUUGGUUGAAAAGCCUGGGUAAUCUUUUGAACUUUCGUCGUGAUGGGGCUAGACCCUUGCAAUUAUUGGUCUCCAACGAGGAAUUCCUAGUAAACGCAAGUCAUCAGCUUGCAUUGAUUACGUCCCUGCCCUUUGUACACACCGCCCGUCGCACCUACCGAUUGAGUGAUCCGGUGAAUUAUUCGGACUGCAACGUGUCCAGUUCUGGAUGCAGUUGCGGAAAGUUUUGUGAACCUUACCACUUAGAGGAAGGAGAAGUCGUAACA